GACGAACGCUGGCGGCGUGCCUAAUACAUGCAAGUUGAGCGAUGAAGAUUGGUGCUUGCACCAAUUUGAGAGCCACCAAAGGGGGAGUUACGCGGUGGGGAUCCUCCUUUGAGGGGGGGGCCACCAUUGGAAAAGAAUUGUUAUUCCGCAAAAACACCUUAAACAUUAGUUUUAAGGUUUAAAGGUUCAAUUGCCUUAACUAAAGAUUAAUCCGCGUUGUAUUAGCUAGUUGGUGAGGUAAAGGCUCACCAAGGCGAUGAUACAUAGCCGACCUGAGAGGGUGAUCGGCCACAUUGGGACUGAGACACGGCCCAAACUCCUACGGGAGGCAGCAGUAGGGAAUCUUCGGCAAUGGACGAAAGUCUGACCGAGCAACGCCGCGUGAGUGAAGAAGGUUUUCGGAUCGUAAAACUCUGUUGGUAGAGAAGAACGUUGGUGAGAGUGGAAAGCUCAUCAAGUGACGGUAACUACCCAGAAAGGGACGGCUAACUACGUG
rnacentral:rRNA from 1 species